CUUUUAUAAAGGUUCUUUAUAAUUAUAUAUACUAUGUUGGUCUAGAAUAAAAGGUUCUGAUAGUGGUUUUUGGUUUUUUAGUUGAAAGUUUUAUGUCUAUUUCACCUACCACUUUAGGCCUAAGGUUGGAUGCAAAAUAUUCCCUUGAGAAAGAAAAUUCUGGGGAUGGUGCAGAUUUGUCAUUGAUAGUUCAAAUAAAAAAGCAGCAGCGGCAAAGGAAAAAAAGAAAAAAAAAAAGGGUGGUUGAGGGGGGGUUACAUUUCAGGUGUGGGUGGGUUUUUAACGAAGAAGUUCCACAC
rnacentral:misc_RNA from 1 species